rnacentral:rRNA from 1 species
UGGUUCAGAACGAACGCUGGCGGCGCGCUUAACUCAUGCAAGUCGAGCGAGAACCAGCCCUUCGGGGCUGGGGACAGCGGCGAACUGGUGAGUAACACGUGAGUAAUCCACCCUCGGCAUGGGGAUAGCCCGGGGAAACCCGGAUUAAUACCGAAUGGCCCAUUCGCUCCUCGGAGAUGAAUGGAAAAGGUAGCUUCGGCCUCCGGCCGAGGACGAGCUCGCGGCGGAUUAGCUUGUUGGUGGGGUAACGGCCCACCAAGGCGACGAUCAGUAGCUGGUCUGAGAGGACGAUCAGCCACACUGGGAUUGAGUCUCGGCCCAGACGAAUACGGGAG